UACGGAGGGGGCUAGCGUUGUUCGGAAUUACUGGGCGUAAAGCGCACGUAGGCGGCUAUUUAAGUCAGAGGUGAAAGCCCGGGGCUCAACCCCGGAACUGCCUUUGAGACUGGAUAGCUAGAAUCUUGGAGAGGCGGGUGGAAUUCCGAGUGUAGAGGUGAAAUUCGUAGAUAUUCGGAAGAACACCAGUGGCGAAGGCGGCCCGCUGGACAAGUAUUGACGCUGAGGUGCGAAAGCGUGGGGAGCAAACAGG
rnacentral:rRNA from 1 species